rnacentral:rRNA from 1 species
GACGAGCCUCACAAACGUUAUUCGGAAUUACUGGGCUUAAAGGGUGCGUAGGCGGUGCGGAAAGUUGGGUGUGAAAUCCCUCGGCUUAACCGAGGAAUUGCGCUCAAAACUACCGUGCUCGAGGGAGAUAGAGGAAUGCGGAACUUACGGUGGAGCGGUGAAAUGCGUUGAUAUCGUAGGGAACACCGGUGGCGAAAGCGACACCCUGGCCCGCAACUGACGCUGAGGCGCGAAAGCGUGGGUAGCAAACAGG